ensembl:miRNA Gm22690 predicted gene, 22690
GUAAUGUGACCAAUAUAUAAUAUAUAAUACAUAUAUAUAUAUAUAUAUGUAUAUAUAUAUGUAUAUACACACACACACACACACACACACACUAUACAACACACACAC